rnacentral:rRNA from 1 species
UCGAGGAUAUCUAGCAAUGGACGAAAGUCUGACUAUGUGACGCCGCGUGAGGGAAGACGGUUUUCGGAUUGUAAACCUCUGUCUUUGGUGACGAAACAAAUGACGGUAGCCAAGGAGGAAGCCACGGCUAACUACGUGCCAGCAGCCGCGGUAAUACGUAGGUGGCGAGCGUUGUCCGGAAUUACUGGGUGUAAAGGGAGCGCAGGCGGGGAGACAAGUCAGCUGUGAAAACUAUCGGCUUAACUGAUAGAGUGCAGUUGAAACUGUUUUUCUUGAGUGGAGUAGAGGUAGGCAGAAUUCCGAGUGGAGCGGUGAAAUGCGUAGAUAUUCGGAGGAACACCAGUGGCGAAGGCGGCCUACUGGGCUCUAACUGACGCUGAGGCUCGAAAGUGUGGGGAGCAAACA